rnacentral:rRNA from 1 species
UGGUGGAGUGAUUUAUCUGGUUAAGUCCGAUAACGAACGAGACUCUAGCAUACUAAAUAGUAUGGGUUAGUUAAGAAAUAGUUACUUACUUCUUAGAGGGAUUGGUGGCAUUUAGUCACAUGAGUAAUAACA